UCACAGAGCAAACCUAAUGUCUUCCAGUUGGGUUUACAUCUCCUUUUAAAGCUGCUGCGCAUACAAUUAUUUAAUUUAAUUGGGUGUCAGUGGGUGAUGUUAGUUGUGGAUGAGCUAGAAACGAAUCAGUCAGGUAAUUGCGUAGAUAAAGACACCUGUAGGUGUGAUGUCUAAUUGAUUACAUCAAUGCAGUGGGGAGGAUUAGCUGUCCCUGCAGUCUCCAGGUUCCCAUGGCGUGUGAAGCUCUGCAGUGACAACAGUACCUGUGUGUGCCUGGUUACACCACGGGGAGGUUUUCGUCAAUGUGAGGGCAACUCAAGACUAAAAAGAAGAUGUUUAGGAUACAAAGGCGAAGAGCCAGUUGAUCUGUGCAGUAAUCCAGUGUGAAACAUUGCCAUUUGCCAGGAACAUUCUGCAAUGAAGACCAGUCACUUCUGCUCUCUCUCCUUGUGCAGGGUGACUGGUCUUGUCUCCACCCCCUCCUGUAGUUUUCUGCAGGCAGACUGUAUUGAGUGGCCCUGCUGGGAUCCUCACAUGUCUGUUCUCUGCAUGGGCUAUGGGAACUUUAUUUUUUCCAUGAGAUGAUUGCUUACCAUAAAAAGAUUUUAUUUUCCAUAAA